rnacentral:rRNA from 1 species
CCUACGCGCUGCAGCAGUGAGGAAUAUUGGUCAAUGGGCGUAAGCCUGAACCAGCCAAGUCGCGUGAGGGAUGAAGGUUCUAUGGAUCGUAAACCUCUUUUAUAAGGGAAUAAAGUGCGGGACGUGUCCCGUUUUGUAUGUACCUUAUGAAUAAGGAUCGGCUAACUCCGUGCCAGCAGCCGCGGUAAUACGGAGGAUCCGAGCGUUAUCCGGAUUUAUUGGGUUUAAAGGGUGCGUAGGCGGCCUUUUAAGUCAGCGGUGAAAGUCUGUGGCUCAACCCCGGCCUGCCGUCGGAACUGGGGGCCUGGAGUGGGCGAGAAGUAUGCGGAAUGCGUGGUGUAGCGGUGAAAUGCAUAGAUAUCACGCAGAACCCCGAUUGCGAAGGCAGCAUACCGGCGCCCGACUGACGCUGAGGCACGAAAGUGCGGGUAUCGAACAGGAUUAGAUACCCCGGUAGUC